AGCCUAAUUUUAAAUACUUGGAGGCCCGUCAUGUGCGUCGCAUGGCCCAUGACACGCGAUGCAGAUGACCCGUGAGUUCGUGACUUUUAAACUUCUCCCAAUCCACUCCUCGUAUUUCUACAAACCCUAACUUGAUCUCUCACCACAUCCUCUCUCACUGUAUCCUCUCUCACCUCAUUAUGACUCUCACCUCAUUCUGCUUCCUCCUUUCAAUGCUCUUUUUCCCCAUUUCUUUUUCUCUCUCCACCAUGGAUCCUGCAAAUUUCAGUCGCUCCAACUUAAUUCCUUCUAAAACCCUACUUUUAAACUUCAUGAUUCCAGAUCUAUCUCUAAACCACCAUGGAAGCUCAAAUUUGGAGCUCAGAGCCUGUGACAUGCAACAACUACACUGAGAUGGCAUUGAAAUGGGAACGACGUUCCCCAUCUCAACUGGGAGUGACGUUCGAAUCAAAGAAAAAUUGAACCUGUUAGAAGGAAUUGGAAUGGGGUGACGUUCUCCAUCUCUAACGGGUUGAUUUUUUAUAUCAUUUUUUUUUUUUACUUUUUUAGAUCUGAAAUAACGACGACCUUCUGGAGGUAUUGUAAUGGCUUCCGGCGAAUUAUUGUAAAGCGAUAAGGGUCUUGUUGUGUACAUUUUUGCUAUUAAACUAUGGAAUCACCAGAUUGAAGAAUGUUGAAGAAGUUUUUUUUUUAUAUCAGAGUGACGUUCAAAUCAAAGAAGUUGACUGUGAAGAUUAAAUAAUAUUGAAUUUACCUUCGAAUUUAUCACCAUCUAGAUUUGAGGUUAUUUUUUUUUUAUAGUUUUUCCCCCUAAAUUGUUUUGGAUUAGCCGAUUUCAAAUUAGAUUAGCGUCCGACUUUUUUAAUUUUCUUGGAUCUAUGUAAUUCAAGUUGUAAUAAAUUGUAAAUUUUUUUUCUCAUUUAUGUACUAGUUCUUUCAUUUGAUUUUAUUUUAUAUCAAAGAAGUUGUGAUCUGAUUUUUUGGGUUCAAA